rnacentral:rRNA from 1 species
GUCUCAAAGACUAAGCCAUGCAUGUCUAAGUAUAAAUGCUUCUAUACUGUGAAACUGCGAAUGGCUCAUUAAAUCAGUUAUAGUUUAUUUGAUGGUUCCUUACUACUUGGAUAACCGUAGUAAUUCUAGAGCUAAUACAUGCAGAAAGUCCCGACUUCUGGAAGGGAUGUAUUUAUUAGAUCCAAAACCGGCGCGAGUCCUCCGGGGCUCGGUUGCUUGGUGAUUCAUGAUAACUUCUCGAACCGUAUGGCCCUUGUGCUGACGGUGCUUCAUUCAAAUUUCUGCCCUAUCAACUUUCGAUGGUACGGUAGUGGCCUACCAUGGUUGCAACGGGUGACGGAGAAUUAGGGUUCGAUUCCGGAGAGGGAGCCUGAGAAACGGCUACCACAUCCAAGGAAGGCAGCAGGCGCGCAAAUUACCCAAUCCCGACUCGGGGAGGUAGUGACAAUAAAUAACAAUGCCGGGCUAUCAUAGUCUGGCAAUUGGAAUGAGUACAAUCUAAACCCCUUAACGAGGAACAAUUGGAGGGCAAGUCUGGUGCCAGCAGCCGCGGUAAUUCCAGCUCCAAUAGCGUAUAUUAAAGUUGUUGCAGUUAAAAAGCUCGUAGUUGGAUUUCGGGGCAGCCUGGCUGGUCCGCCGCAAGGUGUGUACUGGUCAGCCGCCCUUCCUCUCGAAAGCCCCGACUGCUCUUCAUUGCAGUGGUCGGGUAGUUCGGGACGUUUACUUUGAAAAAAUUAGAGUGUUCAAGGCAGGCUCUCGCCUGAAUACAUUAGCAUGGAAUAAUGGAAGAGGACCUCGGUCCUAUUUUGUUGGUUUCUAGGGCCGAAGUAAUGAUUAAGAGGGACAGUUGGGGGCAUUCGUAUUUAAUUGUCAGAGGUGAAAUUCUCGGAUUUAUGAAAGACGAACAACUGCGAAAGCAUUUGCCAAGGAUGUUUUCAUUAAUCAAGAACGAAAGUUAGGGGUUCGAAGACGAUCAGAUACCGUCGUAGUCCUAACCAUAAACUAUGCCGACUAGGGAUCGGUGGAUGUUAAUGUUUGACUCCAUCGGCACCUUAUGAGAAAUCAAAGUCUUUGGGUUCCGGGGGGAGUAUGGUCGCAAGGCUGAAACUUAAAGGAAUUGACGGAAGGGCACCACCAGGAGUGGAGCCUGCGGCUUAAUUUGACUCAACACGGGGAAACUCACCAGGUCCAGACAUAGUAAGGAUUGACAGAUUGAGAGCUCUUUCUUGAUUCUAUGGGUGGUGGUGCAUGGCCGUUCUUA